UACGUAGGGUGCAAGCGUUGUCCGGAAUUAUUGGGCGUAAAGAGCUCGUAGGCGGUUUGUCACGUCGGCUGUGAAAACCCGAGGCUCAACCUCGGGCCUGCAGUCGAUACGGGCAGACUAGAGUAUGGCAGGGGAGACUGGAAUUCCUGGUGUAGCGGUGAAAUGCGCAGAUAUCAGAAGGAACACCGGUGGCGAAGGCGGGUCUCUGGGCCAUAACUGACGCUGAGGAGCGAAAGCGUGGGGAGCGAACAGG
rnacentral:rRNA from 1 species